rnacentral:rRNA from 1 species
AUUGAACGCUGGCGGCAGGCCUAACACAUGCAAGUCGAGCGGCAGCGGGAAAGUAGCUUGCUACUUUUGCCGGCGAGCGGCGGACGGGUAAGUAAUGCCUGGGAAAUUGCCCAGUCGAGGGGGAUAACAGUUGGAAACGACUGCUAAUACCGCAUACGCCCUACGGGGGAAAGCAGGGGACUUUCGGGCCUUGCGCGAUUGGAUAUGCCCAGGUGGGAUUAGCUAGUUGGUGAGGUAAUGGCUCACCAAGGCGACGAUCCCUAGCUGGUCUGAGAGGAUGAUCAGCCACACUGGAACUGAGACACGGUCCAGACUCCUACGGGAGGCAGCAGUGGGGAAUAUUGCACAAUGGGGGAAACCCUGAUGCAGCCAUGCCGCGUGUGUGAAGAAGGCCUUCGGGUUGUAAAGCACUUUCAGCGAGGAGGAAAGGUUGAUGCCUAAUACGUAUCAACUGUGACGUUACUCGCAGAAGAAGCACCGGCUAACUCCGUGCCAGCCGCCGCGGUAAAAC